rnacentral:lncRNA from 1 species
AUGUCAAAACCAUUAGAGAGAUACCAAAAACUUGGCUUGAAAGAGUCUUUACCAAGAAUUCACAGGUACCCGUUAGCCUGUAAAAAGCUGAGCUUAAUUCUCAGAGGCGCUUACAAGAAAAUUCCCAAGAAUCUUCAAUCGCUCAUCUUCCAGGACACCCUCACCGCCUUUCGUCUCCUCCCUGAGUAUGCUUUUUCCCGUAUCUCGGAUUUUAUAAACUCUUUCUUCUUGUUUUGA